rnacentral:rRNA from 1 species
GSUUGRCUGUAUYUUAAAAWUGAAUUUGAGUUUUUUUCGCGCAGUCUAAGUGGGAGACAAUGAAAAUAAUUUUUUGGAAAUAUUUGAGUCGUAAAAUGAGAGACCACUCUUGAAAAACUAAAAUUCUAAUAAUACAUUCUUCUAUCAGAAUAUUAAACAGUUUUAGGUGGGCAGUUUUUUUGGGGCGAAAACCUCCCAAAAAGUAACGGAGGUGUACAAAGGUUUCUUCAAACUGGACGGAAAUCAGUUAUAGAGUAUAAAGAUAAAAAGAAGCUUAACUGUGAGACAGACACGUCAAACAGAGGCGAAAGCCGGUCUUAGUGAUCCGACGGUUCUAAGUGGAAAGGCCGUCGCUCAACGGAUAAAAGUUA